AUGUAUGAGGAUGUGGUUCAGUGGCGUUUCACGGGUUUUUAUGGUCACCCAAAAUGGAAUGAACGCCAUCUAUCUUGGAAUGAUAUUCGCAAUCUACAUAGUAAGGGCAACCACCCCUGGGUGGUUUUAGGGGAUUUUAACGAAAUUUUAUAUCCUUCAGAAAAUGAGGGCGGUAUGGCAAGACCACUUGGUAUGAUGAGAGAACUCCGUGAAUGCCUAAUGGAUUGUGGGCUUGACGACUUAGGCUACACAGGUGACCUUUUCACUUGGAGAAGAGGCGAAAUACGUGAGCGUCUUGAUCGGGCGGUCUGUAAUUUAGCGUGGGCAAAUAAAUUUCCACGAGCGGCAGUGAUCAAUGAAAAACAUGUUCAUUUUGACGAUCACCCAAUUGUACUGGACAUGGAUUAUUUGGAUGAAAAAAUCUUUAAACGGCUAGAGGGGCAUGUUAUACAAUUUGAGGCGAGGUGGUUGAAGGAAGACACGGUCACUAAAAUUGUUAAGGCAUCUUGGGAGAAAGCAAAGCUCACAGGUAUCGGACCAUCGCUUGCUGAUCGUACGAGAGCAGUGCAUGCCGAUUUGCACACUCGGGGUCGGGAAAUUUUAAAGGGACCGAAGGUGAGAAUUAGGAAACUAAAAAAAGAAUUGGAGAAAGUAAGGCGUGGCUCACUGAAUACAGAAUCUCGAUGUCGUUAG
rnacentral:rRNA from 1 species